rnacentral:rRNA from 1 species
GGAGUUAGCCGGUGCUUCUUCUGCGAGUAAACGUCACAGAUGUAAGGUAUUAACUUACACCCUUUCCUCCUCGCUGAAAGUGCUUUACAACCCGAAGGCCUUCUUCACACACGCGGCAUGGCUGCAUCAGGGUUUCCCCCAUUGUGCAAUAUUCCCCACUGCUGCCUCCCGUAGGAGUCUGGGCCGUGUCUCAGUCCCAGUGUGGCUGAUCAUCCUCUCAGACCAGCUAGGGAUCGUCGCCUAGGUGAGCCUUUACCUCACCUACUAGCUAAUCCCACCUGGGCUUAUCCAUCAGCGCAAGGCCCGAAGGUCCCCUGCUUUCCCCCGUAGGGCGUAUGCGGUAUUAGCAGUCGUUUCCAACUGUUAUCCCCCACAAAUGGGCAAAUUCCCAGGCAUUACUCACCCGUCCGCCGCUCGUCAUCUUCAAAAGCAAGCUUUUGAAAUGUUACCGCUCGACUUGCAUGUGUUAGGCCUGCCGCCAGCGUUCAAUCUAGAGCCAUAAUCAAACUCUGA